AAGGUGACCAAGUGAACUAGAAACAUUAUCUCUUCAGGAAUGGGAAUGUAGGAUUCCAUAUUUCUACUGUUCUUCCAGAAAAGAGUGAAACAUUUCUAGAAAAGAGUUACUUUUUAAGUGCUGAAUGGAAACCACAUGAAGAGACAGAUAUAAAAGUUCUUAAUGCAAAUCUGCAAUGCUGUUUUUGCUGACUUUUUUUCCCCCUCCUGCUUUCAUGUCCAGCCAGAUUACCUGUGAAAACAGAAGCAGAUGGUGGAUAGCAGAAGGGAUGUUCUAAGUAUGGUGGUGUCUGUGGUGUCACAUGAUACAUGAAUUU